AAAAUUUGUUAUAGAACUAAAGAAAAACGAAUUUGUCCUAAAAUAAAAUAGCUUAAGUCAAAUAAUUAAAUAUGUGUAUUUAUAAAAAUUAUGAAUUUGACAGCGGUAUUAAUGCAAAAGCAGAGAACGUAAAAUAUAUGAUAUACGUGCAAAAGUUAAUGAAAGCUUAUGUAGUCUCUAUAAAAAACGAUACAAAUUGCAACUCUGUGUUUUCAUUUAUUUCCUUGGGCAUAUCACCAAAAUUUUAUUUUCUUAUUGUACUCUGUUGGACAACUUUUGCCAGAAAAUCCAAGUUCAACAGAACAAAUAUAACAAGAAUUUAGAAAAUAUUCAAAAAUUAUUAUAAACCUAGUGUAAAGACGUUCUCAAUCUACAAAAAGACGAUAUAGUGCAAAAAUGAAUAUAAAUUUACCAAAUUUUAAUGUGAAAAAUCUGGUGAAGGAGGCGGGGAGUACUCUGUCCAGAGUGGUGCAGCUAACGGAAGAAAAACUCGGCACCACAGAGCGCACCGAGUACGAUAAUGAAUUCCAGAAUCUAGCUGAACGUGCCGAUAUAACCAAGACAUGGACAGAAAAGAUAGUGCGCGAUACCGAGACAGUAUUAAUACCGAAUCCACAAAAUCGCAUAGAAGAUUUUAUUUUUGAAAAAAUCGAAAAAACUAAACCACAACGACUGAGCAAUUUAGAGCACUUGGCUUUAGAUAUGAUAGAGGCCGGUGGAGAUUUCGGACAAGAUUUACCAUACGGUCAAGCUUUAAUAAAAGUUGGUCAAGCCGAACAGAAACUAGGACAAUGUGAACGCGAUUUUAUUGCAUCCUCUGGCAUAUGUUUCACUCAACCUUUGCGUAAAUUCUUAGAGGGUGAAAUGAAAACAAUUACGAAGGAACGUGGUAUAUUAGAAACUAAACGUCUUGACUUGGAUGCUUGCAAAAAUCGGGUUAAGAAAGCAAGAAGUAUGUUAGGACAACAGGCGAAAGAUGGUGUCUCCCCAGAGGCAGUACUUGAGCAGGCCGAACGUGACUUGCGUGUCGCACAGGCGGAAUUCGAUCGUCAGUCGGAGAUUACCAAAGUAUUGCUUGAGGGUAUCAGCACUUCGCAGGCAUCUCAUUUAAGACAUUUGCAUGCAUUUGUUGAGACACAGGUGCGUUAUUACAAGCAUUGCAUGGAUGCGAUGAACAAUUUGCAACGCGAUUUGGCUAAACUACGUCCCGCAAAGCCACGACUACGCAUAAACAGCGAAGAUGUGGAUGGGCCUCCCAACAGCGUAAUGCUUUCAAAUAUCCAUGCAACGUAUAACAGUAACGAAACACAUGAACUUAAAGAAGUCGAUGAUAAUGAUGAUUUAAAUAAUUUUCACACUGUCGAUAUUAAUAAGCAUAAUAAUGUUAACAUUAAUGAAACUCAACAAAAUACUAAUGGAAGUUCCCAAAAUCAAAAUAAUACUACAAAUCCGUUUGCAACAACACAAAUUUUAGAACAAUAUGAUAUUGAAUUUGAUACCAGUGCUAUAACUUCAGUUUAGACAAGAAGAUAGUGAAAGUAUAUACUUAAGUAUAAAACAUAUACAUACUUAGUCAGGUUGUGUUUUUCGAUAUAAGCAAUAUUAUGGAUUUAAAGAAACCGAAUAGUUUGCCACUGUGCUAAUCGCGCUAUUAAAAGUUUAAUUGCUGAAUGAUUAAUAUUUAUAUAUGUAUAUAUAUAUAUAUGUAUGUAUGUAUGUAUAUAUAUAUAUAUGUAUGUAUGUAUGUAUAUGUGAGAAAAAUAAUUAUGAAAACUCAAAACCUCAUUCGAAUCAAAAUUGUAAUUAAUAGUUAAAUAUUAUAUUAAUAGUAAAGUAUAUAUUCACACUGGUUGUUGUUGUUUUACCAUGCACUGUAAAUUAUACAAAUUUGUUGCGAGUAUAAAACUUCAAAAAAUUUGUAUAAAACACAUUUUUCAAAUCUUUAUAAAAGGCACAUGUUAUUAAUAUUUAAGUACAUAAAAGACAUAAGAAGGUUUCAAGUACAAAAGGUAUAUGUUAUAUAAGAGAAUUACUAACGGGGUUGGCAGGAAAGUAAUACGUAUAUAAGUAGUAAAAACUGGUCUGAUUCGUCUCAUAUAUCUAAAUAUAUGAGAAAAAAAAUUUCGAACAGGGUUGCAAAUAAUGCUUAAAUUGAAUUAACAUUUGAAUUAAUUUUUUUUUUUUUGUAAUUCCGAUAAUCUAAAUUAAAAGUAAAUUUUAAAUUCCUAAUCCAAAUACCGGAUUGAAAAAAAAAGAAAUUAAUUAAAUAACGGAAAGAUAAAAAUUUAAUCCCGAAAUCGGAUUAAAAUUUAGAAAACGGAAAUUUCGUAUUUAUGGUAUAUUUCCCAGAAUUGCAAAUAAAAAUUUAAAAUCUAAUGAUUAAUCCAAAAUUUUUGGAAUAAAAAAUUCGCAAACCUGAUUUCGUAAUUAAAUUAAAAUACUAUAAAUUUAUUAUAUAUAAAAUAAAAUUUUUUGAAUAUAAAAUAGUUCACAAAUUAUAUUACGAAGCAGAUUAAUAAAUUUUUCGUUGACUAAGAUAAUAUAUGUAUAUAGCAAAGGUGCGAAAUUAAUAUUAAAUGUUAGGUAUUAUUUGUAUAUUUAUAUAUAGCUCUAAACCUUCUUCCAAUUAAUAUACGCAGCUUCUAAUUACUUAACCUAUAAUAGCGUUACAUGUAGUUGUUCGUAAUAUCCUCGUAAUGUCGCCGUGUUCAUUUUAUCAUAUAUAUUAUUUUGCUUAGUUUGGGAGGCCCCACCCCAUACGUACCGAUCGAUAUGUACAACGAUAAUGAUGGUAGUGUCACUGGUGGCAUUGGCAAUGCUGGCGGUGGUGCUGGCGCUGGUGUGGCUACUGGCAGCGGUGCUAGAAGACGCAACCCAGGCGAUCCGUUAUUGAAUGCUGAUCAAAUGCGACGCGCACGUGUCCUAUGCGCUUACGAUGCAAAAGAUCACACCGAAUUGAAUUUAAAUGCUAACGAGGUAAUAUUCGUAAGCGAAUGCUCACCUGUAAAUCCGGAUUACAUGUACGGCAAGCAGGGCUUAUUGAAGGGACUGGUGCCACGCGCAUUUCUCGAAAUGCUCGAUGACGAAGAAAAUGACACGUAUGCAGGCAAUAAUGAUUAUUAAGUGAACGUCUCAUAAUAGCAUUUAAAGUGUAAUAGUCCACUUAUGCAAAAAUGUACACCACAUGUUCCAUAAAUUUUAAAAAGCAAUGUUAAAGAAAAUCCACAAAUACUCAUAAAAUUUAUUUAAUGUACACAUAUUUUUUUAGCGUUACAUAAAUUGCAAACACAAGCAAAAAUAUAACAACAUAGACGGUAUAUAGCAAUAGCAAUGUUAAAUUUACCUAGAAAAUGCAGUACAAUAAUAAAAAAUAAUAUAAAUUAUAAAUAAUAAAUAUAUAAACCGAAUAACCCCGCUACAAAAUGAAAAAAGCUUAAAGAAUAUUUAAAAUGUGCAAUAAUAAGUUGCGAGCAAGAUAUGUUGCAGAAAAAUUGCUUAAAGACGAGCUGUUGUUAUCUAGAACUGUUGUAGCGCUAAAUUUGCUGAACAAUAAACCAAGUAUUAACGAGUGGUACAAUAAUAUGGCUAUAAUGCCUGUUUUUAUAAACUACAUACCGCAUGAUAAUCACAAUUACAAACAUACAAAUUAGUAAUUAGCGUUAAUAUUUUAGUUCUGGGAAAUGCUUCAAGUCGGCACAGCAUAUGUAUGCAUGUAUAAAGUAAAAAAAAAACGAUUAAUAAUUUUUAGUUAUAAGUUUUGUUGUAGUGUUUUUAGUUUACUUUUUUAUUUAUUUAAUAUUAUUUCUUUGUGUCUUCCAGUACCAGAAAUCUGAUAAAAACAUGCCAGUAUUUUGGUUUUAAUUGAUAUUAAAGAAUCUCUACACCUUCUUA